CCAAACACCUCACACCAACAAAAUUCCAAAUCCAUGCCUACAUUUUUCCCACUCACCCAAAAAUCCCAACCAAAAAAAAAAAGAAAAAGAAACUCUCUCUCUCUUCUUUCUCUCUCUCCUGGCUCUGUUUGUAAAUUUCCUCCGUGUUCAGAAAACCCUGUUUUCCGCAACGACCCUCUUCGUUUUCGCAGCCUCUUCCCGAAACGUGGAUCACCGGAGAGCUCAGGUCUUCCAAUCUCUGAAAAUAAAAAAAGCACCGGAAAAAAAUAUUUAAUUGAAAAAAAAGGGGGAGAAAUCGCUUCUGGGUAUUUUUAUUUUUCGAAAACCCUAGUUUUCCGCUUCCAGAUUUUCGAUUUCGAUUGUGAAUUAGGGUUUUAUGGGGCAGCAUGACAAAAAUUCGAUCCAAAUUCUAAACGGGCCGUCGUUGGCCCACUCCGCCUGGUUCGAAAUCCGGUUGUUUUACGUCCGGGUUGCGCCCUGCGUGAUUGGGAGCGUUCCCGACCACCUCACGCUCCGCCACCUCCGACGCGAGAUUGGGGUAUCGCUUGAAAUCAACGGGACCCGGGUUCCGGCGUCGGACUCGGCCUCGCUCACGCUCCGCCGCGAUCGGGUCGAUAAGGAGUCGUCGGAGGUGACGUACGUCAGCACCGAUAGCGUGAGGGUCACCGGUGGGGUUGAAUUUGAGGUGUACGAGAACAAUGACAUGGUUCUGUGUGGGUCUCUGGAGCGGAUGGAGGGUGUUUGGCUCAAUGGAAAUGCGGGGGGAUUGGAGAACGAUUCGAGAACCGGGUGGAGUAUGGAUUGCUACAUGGCCGCCUCGAUCAAUUCGGGUUCUUCCGCCUUUUUCCGGCCAAAACUUGGCGUCUCUGCACCGUCAAUAGAGGUAUAUAUCGCCGGGUGUUGCUCCGGGGUGCCCGUGAUAUUGACGAAAACCAUACAGGUUAGUCCGAGGCGGAAGGGCCCGAGGCAUGCAACGCUCGAUGCCAUUCCGGAGGAUGAGGAGGUUGGGAAGGAGCACACCAAGGGCUGUAAUGGGAUGAUUCGCCGGAAAGUUCAGAUCACAGACUCUGAAAUUGAUGAGUAUGAGGCAGAAGGGAAAAUCGGACAUCAUUUCUACUCUGAUGAAAUGUACACCGGUGAAGACGGCCAACUUACAUGGUUUAAUGCUGGUGUUAGAGUUGGUGUUGGAAUUGGCCUUGGGAUGUGCCUUGGGAUAGGGAUUGGUGUUGGAUUGCUCAUGCGUUCCUAUCAAGCAACUACCAGUAAUUUCAGGAGGAGGUUUUUCUGAAGUGGAUAAUUGGAAACUUUUUUGGGGAAGUCAAGGGGAACGAAAUAAUAAAAAAUUGUGAGGAAGUGAAAACGGCAUAAAUCGGUAACAUAAAUCUGUUGAGCAUGAGUUUUUGAAGUUGGGUUGGAAGUUUUGUACAGUUUUUCUGUUUAAUAGUUUUAUGUUCAGAUAAAAGCUCUUACAAAGGAUGCCAAAGUUGUUCAUUUCACUCCAAAGGUUGGUUGGACACCAUUGAAAUGUUGUUUCAUUGAAACAUAGACACAGGUGCCAAUGUGGAUAACCGGCUCAGCCUUCCGAGGCAGGAAAAUAUAAUAAGCUUUGAAGAUCUGAUGGAGCUGUAGGUAAUAGCAACUACUUGUUCAGCGGCCAGCACAAGCUUGUAUGAGGUUCGACUUUGCUUUCGUGGAAAAUGUAGCAGAUGCGCACAUGUUGUUCUGAGAUUUUGAUCUUACAUGAGUUAUAUGUUAUUCGUGAGACUUCCAACCGUUGUAUGAAACGCCUUUUUCAUAAGACGUUGUGUACAACCGAUGUACAUAAAUGUUGUAGAUAAAGAUUUUGAGACAUGUCAAAUGCAUUUCAUUCGAAUGGGCAAUUGUGCUACAGUUAGUCGCCGAACGCCCACACUCGAUAUUAGUUGUUUUUAACAUUUUAGAAUAAUUUUAUUAACAAGAUUUUCGGCACGCA